GGUUGUGGCUCAGUGGUAGAGCGCUUGUCUUGCUUGCGUGAGGCACUGGGUUCGAUCCUCAGCACCA
rnacentral:tRNA from 1 species